rnacentral:rRNA from 1 species
UACGUAGGGUGCAAGCGUUAUCCGGAAUCACUGGGUGUAAAGGGUGAGUAGGCGGUUUGUUAAGUCACAUGUGAAAUCCCAAGGCUCAACCUUGGGACUGCAUGAGAAACUGGCGAACUAGAGUACAGGAGAGGUAAGCGGAAUUCCUAGUGUAGCGGUGAAAUGCGUAGAUAUUAGGAAGAACACCAGUGGCGAAGGCGGCUUACUACGCGAUUAUUGACACUGAGGCACGAAAGCGUGGGGAUCAAACAGG